CGUGUGAGCAGAUGGUUGGUGGUUUGAGAAAGGGAAUGGCCUUGGAAUCCUGCGAUGGAAAGGUUCAAGUGAUCUGUGCUCGGACUUUGUCCUUCUGUGGCCCCUCUGUGUGUGCAGGAGAAAGUGUGUUUGUCAAGGGGGUUUAACACUAGGUCAGAGAUAACACCGUUUUUAGCAGCUGUCAAGUGUGAGUUGGUGUGUGACAUCAGUCGGUGUGUAUGUGAACCAUGGGCGGUCCACUGAGGUUGGCUACUUUAGGAGCAGGCCCUGCCCCUGGCAACAGCAGAAAACUGGACAACAGCAAGAAACAGAUGCUACAGGGGAGAACUGCUGCAAUCGAGACAUUUCCAAGAAGAAGAAACACUUCUCUUGGAGGGCAAGGCAAGGAGCGGACGAUAACAUUUGCUUUCUCUUUAUCCUGUUCAUAGUGGGAUCACAGCCAAGCAAGCAAGUUUACAGCAACCGACCUCUCCUCGACUGUCUCACCUAUCCUCUCCAUCCAGCACGCUGCCAUGGAUCGCUCGGUGCAGGAGCUGUUCCUCAACUUCAUGAUCGUCUUAAUCACUGUGCUGCUGAUGUGGCUGCUGGUGAAAACUUACCAGGACUAAAAAAUUAAGCAAUGAGAGAGGACACGGACGUGAGGCGGAGGGGAUGGAGAGACACGUGCGUCGGGAAACUGGCGUGGUUAUCGGAAGACUUGGCCGCUGGCUAAAGUGAAUACAGUGUUUACACCUACAGCUCUGCUUAUUCAUGUGAGGUCAACAAUAAGUGGUUACUAUAGCCGGGACAAACUAUGAAUGAUAAAAUAGUUCACAAUCUGUAUUUUUAGUGUUUUUUGUUUUGUUUUUUGAAUAAGGCCAUGAAUGUGAAAUCACAGCAGAGUGGUCAGGGUUAAUAAAUAAGAAUGAAAUUGUUGAAAACCCAAAUGGGAUGGCUUGAAAACGCAAAAAAAAAAUGCAAUGUCACUAUAAACAGGAGUGCAUACCAUAGCCUGUAUGUCUAAGUGCCCAAAUCAUUUAACAAUGCUGUUGUGUCCAAUUUUUCAGUUUUUUUUGUCAAAGUGAUGAACACAACAAACAAGCUUAUAAAACUCAUAAAACAAGACAACAGGAAUUUUGAAGCAUUAUGUUUAUGAUCACUUCUUAACAUUAAACAGUCUUUCAUUUG